UACGAAGGGAGCUAGCGUUGUUCGGAAUCACUGGGCGUAAAGCGCACGUAGGCGGAUUGCUAAGUCAGGGGUGAAAUCCCGGGGCUCAACCUCGGAACUGCCUUUGAUACUGGUAAUCUCGAGUCCGGAAGAGGUGAGUGGAAUUCCUAGUGGAGAGGUGAAAUUCGUAGAUAUUAGGAAGAACACCAGUGGCGAAGGCGGCUCACUGGUCCGGUACUGACGCUGAGGUGCGAAAGCGUGGGGAGCAAACAGG
rnacentral:rRNA from 1 species